CCCUUAGAUGUUCUGGGCCGCACGCGCGCUACACUGAUGCAUUCAACGAGCACCCGCUGGGCCGAGAGGUCCGGCUAAUCUUUGAACGUGCAUCGUGCUGGGGAUAGAUGAUUGCAAUUAUUCAUCUUCAACGAGGAAUUCCUAGUAAACGCAAGUCAUCAGCUUGCAUUGAUUACGUCCCUGCCCUUUGUACACACCGCCCGUCGCACCUACCGAUUGAAUGGUCCGGUGAAAUUCUCGGACGCGGACUUGCAAUGUUAAUUCGGCGCUUGUCUGUGAAAGUUAAUUAAACCUUACCAUUUAGAGGAAGGUGAANUCGUANCA
rnacentral:rRNA from 1 species